UUCGCAUCCGCUGGCCUGGAUUAUUACGAAUCAGUGGAAGUUCUCUCAUUUCUUGAAGGAAGAACAAGGUUUGAAGGGAUUUCAUGGAACCAGGAAGAGACUUUUAACGCUUAUGCUGCUGAGGAGCCUCCUCAACCAAAGCCAGAGUUUGAUUCAGGUUACAUGAAGGAUGGUUCGUCUCAAAAGGACUGCAGGAGCUGGAAGGGACAAGGGGAUACAGAAGAUGACUGGGGAGAAACCUAUAGUAAGACAAGGAUACCCGCUUUGUUUGUUGCUAGCAUCUCUAGGUAUGCUUCUGGUUGA
rnacentral:rRNA from 1 species